ACCUUGUAAUGACCUAUCCAUGCAUUGCUGGAAUAAAAGACCUAUGUAGUCCUAGAGGGUGGUCACUGUGGACCGUGGACAAGUUACUCACACUCUGGACCUAUUUCUUCACCCAUAAAAGGUUUCCUCACAGGAUGUCAUGAGGAUUAACUAGUUAGUAUAUAUAAAGCACUCAGACUACUGGCUGACCUAUUGGAACACUCAAAUGUGUGGGUGUGAGCCUGAACCUGAAAGCUGAGUGGUCAUUUCUAAGAAGGGCUAGUAAUUAAGACAAUGUUCUUGACCCUGCGGGGAUGAAAAAGAUCCGCGCAAUCCAGUCCCUGCUCUCAGGAAGUCUGUAAUCUACAUCUGGAUGAAGUGGAAACAGACGAGGAUGACAUAGAUGUACAGGAGUACAAGAGCCAAGAGCUGGAGGUCAUUCCAGGCCCUGUGAUUGAGCUCCCACCACUGGAAAUGUGAGCGGAAGUGAUGAGGCUGCUAAGAGUGGGCAAGCAUUCUCCAGACCUCCCCUUUCACCUCCUCACCCCUGGAAGCAGACACUGCUGAGAUGGCAGAGUGGACAGACAGAAGCAGCUGGGACCCCUGAGUCACUGUUGGGGAAGAGUUACCAAGGAGAUCAAGUCCCAGGUCAACAGUAACAGGCCACGUUGAUAGGAGUUUCCCUGGAUGUGAUGAGAUGAGAAGGCGCUUGCCCUCCAUGAUCUUCCUCCCAAGAACAUAUAACCCUGCUGUAAUCACAAGGAAAACAUCAGACAAAUCUCGGCAGAGGAGCAUCCUGCAAAAUACCUGAUAGGUACUUCCCCCAAACUGACCUUGAGGUCAACAAAGACAAGGAAAUUGAGAGACUGUCACAGCCAGAAGGAGCCUGAGGAGACAUGAGAACUAAAUGUGACAUGGUGUUGGGUGGGAUCCUGGGACAGGAUCUUGGGUGCUGGCUUACUCUGCUGGUUCAGCCCUGGUCUCUCCAGUCCAAUUUGAAGGUGUUCCCCACCUGCCUUGACUUCUCCUCCUCAGCCACAGCACAGUCUUCCACCUGCCACCCUGACACUAAUUGUCCGGCCCCUGUGCUUCCUAGAUCUGGAAGAUUCCUUCUAGAGCAACCCCCAUUUUAUGUGAUUUCCUUUUGUUUUAGAAAAGGUUUCUUUUCAGAAAAGUACAAUGCAUAAUCUAGCACAACCACUUUUCCAUGAAAUGGGAUGAACAACUGUUGGUAUUUUGUCAUCUUUGCUUACUGAAUUUUUCCUAUGUGUACGCCUUUUAAAAUUAUACAAUAUGUGCUUAGAUUCUUUCUUAAAAAGUAAAAUAUUGGGGUGCCUGGCAGGCUCAGUCAGUAGAGCAUGUGACUCUUGGUCUCAGGUUCAUGAGUUCGAACCCUGCAUCAGGUAUAGAGAUUACUUACAAAUAAAAUCUUUUAAAAAGUGUAAAAACAGGAGCACUUGGGUGGCUCAGUCGGUACAGCUCUUGAUUUCAGCUCAGGUCCUAAUCUCACUGUUGGGGAGAUCAAGUCCCACAUCAGGCUCUUCAAUAAUAUCAGGGAGCCUGCGUGGGAUUCUCUCUCUCUUUCUCUCUCUCUCUCUCUCUCUCUCUCUCUCUCUCUCUCUCUCUCUCUUUCCAUCCCUACCCCUCUCACACAUGUACGCACAUGCACACUCUCUCUCAAAAUAAAUAAAUUUUAAAAAAUAAUAAACAGAUAAAAAUAAAAAGUAAAAUAUUGCUGAUAGAAUUCUCCUGAGCCAACCUAAGUCUACUUUCCUUUUCCCUCUUUCUCCUAAACCAAUCACCAUCACUCACUAUCACUGCUUUGAUUUAGUCUUUUGGUUCUCUCUCAUACACGCACAUCCACAAACAAUAUAGGAUUCUCUUUUGUGUGUGUGUUUUCAUUUACAUAAAUGUUAUCACAUGCUGUGACUUUCCUUUUUCAUUCAACAUAAUGAUUUUGAUCUAUAUCCAUAUUGAAACAUAUAAACCUAGCUUAUCCCUUUUAAGCAUGGUAUAUAUUCCAUCAAGUAAAUAAAGUGAAAAAAGUAAAAGUAAAUAAAAGCACAUUUCACCUAUCCAUCCACUCUUGAUUAAGAUGUAGACAGGUUCCAGUUUUUCACCUCUGCCAUGAAUAUGCUAAUGCACGCCCCCUUCUGCACAUUAGAAGAGUUUUCUGUUGGGUAUUUAAAAGGACUGCCGAGUUCAAUCUUUGUAUGGCUGAGGGAUGCUUUGAUGAGCCCAGCUGCCUUUUCUUUUGGGAUCAUAGAGAAGGCCUCCAAUAAAGAACACUCCUCUUCCCUACUCAAGUUUUGAAUAAGCUGGAAAUAAAGCACAGAGCCAAUAAAGCCAAUAUGGCACUAUUGUCGCUGAUUGAGCCACAAUGGAGGAGGGAAUAGUGGAGAGCCACAUGGGCCUGCUAAGGAAAGCCCAUUCUCAAGCAGAGUACCACCCAUCACAGACAGCUGGGACCAGGGCAGGAUCCCCUCGCACCUGUCUUCCCAGCCACAGGGGCCAACCCCAGAGGAGCACCAGAAUGCAUGACCCCUUAGAAGCAGCCUACCCUCAAGAGGAUCAGAGCAGUCACUCCCCAGGCAGAGGAGAACCAAGAGGGUAUUUCUAGAAUAACAGGGGUGGAGUAAAAAAAGUUUCCCCUUAACAUGGUCACAGGCCAUUAGUCAGCCCUCGUUCAUUUGGUGGCCCUUGUGUCAGGAGCACAUGCUGGUCUAAUCAGGUGUGGCCAAGGAAGGAAGUGGCUCUCCAGAGAUAAUAUAUGACCACCCUGCCCAUACUAGGGGCUUUGGGUGAGGCGCCUUCCCUUAGAAGAGCUGUGACUGAGAAGAAGUCUGCUUGUGGGAAUUGUAUCACAAGCAGACUUCUUCAUGAUACGCUCCUGAUUUGUUCAUUUCAGGGACAAGCUAUAAUGAAUGUGUAAUGAAACUUGUUUAGUUGAAGCUAUUCAGAAAUUACCUAUCCAAGUACAGUAUAGGCAAAGGUGAGCUUCACCCAAACCCCAGAGCCCUACUUCACUUCCCGCCCUAGAAACAAGACCAAAAAAAGUGAAUAUAUAGUUCUAUACGUUGACAUUUGAAGAAUAAUAACAGCGUCCUUUUACUGUCCUUUUACCUACUGUGUGCCAAGCAUUAUCCUAAGUGCAUUAUAUAAAACAAUCUGAUCAGGAAGGUACUAAUCACCCCAUUUUGUAGAUGAGGAAACUGAGACCCAGGUUAACUUUCCCAAGAAACAACCGCAGUGGGCAAGGGGAAGCCCAGAAAAGAAAGUGGGAGAUAAGGAAGGAAGUCGCUGAAGGAACGAAACAGCAGCAAAGGAGCACCAACCAGGGUUGAGAGGAGCCAGGCACCAAGUGCUGCCCUAUCCCUAUAUGUAUCAUUUUGCCCUCCUUGGAAUUCUAUCUGUUACAAUCUAGUUUUGUUCAGAGUGUUUCAGUUCACAUUCUGAGUCCUUCAGGGGUAAUGAUCUCACACCUCAUUUGGACAAGCAAAAAAGAGAUUCUGUCACUGAGCUGAAACUGAGGCAAAGCCUAUUUGUGAUUUUCCCCUGCUCAGGCCUCUGGACAGCGGUUUUGAAGACAGAGUCUGGUUUCAGAAACUAAUAAGUCCCAGAUGAAUUUAAGAAAUAAUUUCGGGUCACUCAACAAUGAUUCAAAGAUGAGCACUUAAAUUUUUUAUAAUUGUAAACAUAACAAUACAUGUUUAUUUUGAAAAUUUUGGAAAUCGCCAAAAUGUAUGAAGGAGAAAAUUACAGUUGUUCCUAUGGCCACAAGCAAGAAACAAUCCUGCUAAAAUCCUGCUGUGUUCCUUUCCUUGGUGGAUGGGGGUAUAUGUGAAUAAUAAAUGACAUCAGACUGAG